rnacentral:rRNA from 1 species
GACGAACGCUUGCGGCGUGCCUAAGAAAUGCAAGUCGAGCGAGGAUUCACGCUGACCGAAGCUUCGGCAGAGGUCUUGUGAAGCCUAAGCGGCGAACGGUCGCGUAACACGUAAGCAACCUGCCCUGAAGUGUGGGAUAGCCCUCCGAAAGGAGGAUUAAUACCGCAUGUGGAUACGAUGUCGCAUGGCAACGUAUCUAAAGCAGCAAUGCGCUUCAGGAUGGGCUUGCGGCCUAUCAGCUAGUUGGUGGGGUAACGGCCUACCAAGGCGACGACGGGUAGCUGGUCUGAGAGGAUGGUCAGCCGGAUUGGGACUGAGACACGGCCCAGACUCCUACGGGGGGGCAGGCAAUUAGGAAUCUUGCGCAAUGGGGGAAACCCUGACGCAGCGACGCCGCGUGAGCGAUGAAGUCUUUCGGGGAUGUAAAGCUCUGUCCUGUGGGGAAGAAGAAUGUGACGGUACCCACAGAGAAAGCCCCGGCUAACUACGUGCC